ACGCUGGCGGCAGGCCUAACACAUGCAAGUCGAGCGGUAGAGAGAAGCUUGCUUCUCUUGAGAGCGGCGGACGGGUGAGUAAUGCCUAGGAAUCUGCCUGGUAGUGGGGGAUAACGUUCGGAAACGGACGCUAAUACCGCAUACGUCCUACGGGAGAAAGCAGGGGACCUUCGGGCCCUGCGCUAUCAGAUGAGCCUAGGUCGGAUUAGCUAGUUGGUGGGGUAAUGGCUCACCAAGGCGACGAUCCGUAACUGGUCUGAGAGGAUGAUCAGUCACACUGGAACUGAGACGCGGUCCAGACUCCUACGGGAGGCAGCAGUGGGGAAUAUUGGACAAUGGGCGAAAGCCUGAUCCAGCCAUGCCGCGUGUGUGAAGAAGGUCUUCGGAUUGUAAAGCACUUUAAGUUGGGAGGAAGGACAGUAAAUUAAUACUUUGCUGUUUUGACGUUACCGACAGAAUAAGCACCGGCUAACUCUGUGCCAGCAGCCGCGGUAAUACAGAGGGUGCAAGCGUUAAUCGGAAUUACUGGGCGUAAAGCGCGCGUAGGUGGUUAGUUAAGUUGGAUGUGAAAUCCCCGGGCUCAACCUGGGAACUGCAUUCAAAACUGACUGACUAGAGUAUGGUAGAGGGUGGUGGAAUUUCCUGUGUAGCGGUGAAAUGCGUAGAUAUAGGAAGGAACACCAGUGGCGAAGGCGACCACCUGGACUGAUACUGACACUGAGGUGCGAAAGCGUGGGGAGCAAAC
rnacentral:rRNA from 1 species